rnacentral:lncRNA from 1 species
GCGGGGCUGGUGGGAGCGAGGGUCUUCCACGGAGCGGGUUCGGGGCAAAGCUGCCUGCCUGCAGCAGAGAUUAAAGGCACUGGCUGGACACUGGGGAAAGCAAUGCUUUUGGCUGCUUUGUGUGCACUUGUUAUUCUUGAAGCUCACAGUGAUGUGACAACAAUAGACAAGAGAGUGUGUGACUCCGUUAUUUUUGAUCUUCACUAUCCCCAGUUGGACCAGCUUUCUCGGAUCACCUGGUACAAGGGAAAUACAUCCUUAAAGCACUGGACACGUGGCAACGCAGUGUCCAGCCAAAGGAUUCAUGUCUAUCCUAAUGGGGCAUUAGGGAUUCGCAGUGUAGUGAAAGAGGAUGUGGGGUGGUACACGGCGAUUGUGCGCAACAGCUCUGAGCAUCUCCUUUACCAAAAAGUAUUUCAGCUACGUGUACAUGCAGAGCACCUUGUCAGAAGACUUGUCGGUGACUGCUUUACUUUUGACCUGAACUGCCUGCAGCCAGACAGGUACAUCCAUGUCACCUGGAAGAAAGGUGAGCAGCGAGUGGCCAAGAUGAGAGGGCAGAGAGUAGAUGUCUCUGCAAGCUACCGUAACAGAGCCCAUGCAUUCCUGAAUGGCAGCYUGACUUUGUGCCCCAUGCAAUGGGGAGACAAGGGCAAGUAUGUGGCGGAAAUAUUUGAUCAGGAUGGUGUGCACAUGCAUCAUGAAAUUAUUAACCUGGAACUGAACAAAAUGGAAACAUUUAAAGAAACCACAGAAUUUAUUGGUGGAUCCAUGUUCUUGAAUCUAACAGAGAUGAAGUUGAGACACUUCCAGGUAGUCUGGAAAAAGGAAAACACAGAAGUCGCUAGGACAAGUGGCUUUAAUUUUUGGUACCAUGAGGACUAUGUUAACAGGUCUGAGAUUGUGUCUAAUUACAGUCUCAGACUAGACAGGAUUCAGAAAAGUGACCAGGGCAUUUAUUCUAUAGAAGUGAAUGACAGAGAUGGGAGAACGGUAUAUGAAAGCACCAUUCGUGUGAAGGUUGAGCAAAACGAGACAUCCAGAAGAAAUUAUGGUCAAUUACUGUUCUAUGUUCUCAUAACAUCACAAGCAGUUGUAAUUAUUAUUAUCUUGGUUGUGCUGAUAUGGCAUUUUAAGAACAACAAACACAGGUCAGUUUGGAUAAGAGUACCCAGAGUACCAAGCUUUCGGCACAUGAGUUCAAGCCUAACAGAUGAGAGAGAUAAUCCUGAGAAACCUGAAGAAACGGAUGAAAACAGUCUUUGUUUACCUGGAAAAAGGCUCGAAUUGCCACACCUCAAUGGUAUGAAAGCUGGAAAGCCUCCUGCUUCAGUUAGUGAGGUGUGUGUUGCUCCACACUUUGAGAACAUCCCUCCAGGAUCUGAGGACUGUGUUCUUCCAGAAUUUGAUUACCCCCUUCCCUCAGUGUAUGAUGGCUGCCUUUCUCCAGAAUUUGAUCUCUGCAGUCCUCCAGGAUCUGAGGAUUUGAAGGAAGAUGACUAUGUUGCUAUGCAUGAUAUAGUUUUUGUCUCUCCAGGAGCUAGAGAGGCAUGGGAAAGGAGUGAAGACAACUUCAUUCAGUAUGCUUCUAUCAAGUAGAAUGCAAGAGGAUUCCCACAGGAUGAGUCUGGAAACUCAAUUUCCAGUUCUUCCCAUUAGAUUUGCCAGGAAAUAUGUUUGCAGCAUUGGACUGAAAUUUGGACUCUCUCUUUCUCUUUUGGCUGGUCUUGAGCCAACCUUGAAGUUCUGCUGUUAGUUUCUCAUUUGGAUAAAUCUGAUUCUUGAUUUGCUUUGUAGAUUUGGCUGGAAGCCUAAUGGGAAAUCUCUCUGUGGAUCAGUUUGUUUUCCACAGCUGGGGCCCAUCUAUUCCCUUUGUUUUGCUGAAGGUCUUCCAGGAUGACCCAUUAGGAGCCCCGUGUAAAGCAGACAGGAGAAUUAACCCUAAGAAUAGUUCAUCCCAGGCCUCUCUUGUUUGCUUCCACUAGGAGGUGUCAUCGUAGGAAAGAGAAGGGCCUCAGGGAUUUCUGGAGGCCAGGUCUGGGCCCUGACCUCCCGUCCUUGUCUCCUGUUGUGUGGAAGAUGCACCUGAGUGAAUUGGUAGAUAUAAGCAUAAAUUUUCCUCUGCUGUUUGCUUAGAAGAAUGUGCCACUUAGGUGGAAGUCAGUCAAAAGUAUAUUACGAGAAGGGAAUUGCACUGAAGAACAUGCAGCAAGUUUUACUUGGGGAACUGUUGUUUUAGAAGAAAAAAGGAAAAGUAAAGGAAAGAAAUGAGAGCAUUGCUAGCAAAUGGGUUUAGCCAUAAAUGUAAUUGCCUUUAAAGAACAGCCUUGGUAAUUAGAUACAUUUUCUGCAAUGCCUGUAUUAAACUUAGUGAUCUUAAAUGGUGUGUAAUUGUUUUCAUAGAUUGCUUUUAAAUCUUACAGAUUGCUUCUUUUAGGUUUGAUGAACUAACUUUUUUUACAGAAUGUUGAAUAAAAGUAUUUUUUCUUAUUACUGAAAAGGUAUU